AAGUCGUAACAAGGUUUCCGUAGGUGAACCUGCGGAAGGAUCAUUAAUGAAUUAAGUGUUGAGAAGAGAUUGUAGCUGGCCUUUUCAUAGGCAUGUGCACAUCUCAAUCACACAUUUAUAUCUUACACCUGUGCACAAUCUGUAGCUUUGGGGGAUGAUUAUAGAGUUAUUAUAAUAAUGACACUAGAAAGUCUUCUAGCUAUGAAUUUUCUAUACACACACUUAUAAAAAGUAGCAGAAUAUUGUGUUGCAUAUAAUAAUAAUGCAAAUAAAUACAACUUUCAGCAACGGAUCUCUUGGCUCUC
rnacentral:misc_RNA from 1 species